GAUGAACGCUAGCUACAGGCUUAACACAUGCAAGUCGAGGGGCAUCAGGAAGAAAGCUUGCUUUCUUUGCUGGCGACCGGCGCACGGGUGAGUAACACGUAUCCAACCUGCCCUUUACUCGGGGAUAGCCUUUCGAAAGAAAGAUUAAUACCCGAUGGCAUAAUGAUUCCGCAUGGUUUCAUUAUUAAAGGAUUCCGGUAAAGGAUGGGGAUGCGUUCCAUUAGGUUGUUGGUGAGGUAACGGCUCACCAAGCCUUCGAUGGAUAGGGGUUCUGAGAGGAAGGUCCCCCACAUUGGAACUGAGACACGGUCCAAACUCCUACGGGAGGCAGCAGUGAGGAAUAUUGGUCAAUGGGCGCUAGCCUGAACCAGCCAAGUAGCGUGAAGGAUGAAGGCUCUAUGGGUCGUAAACCUCUUUUAUAUAAGAAUAAAGUGCAGUAUGUAUACUGUUUUGUAUGUAUUAUAUGAAUAAGGAUCGGCUAACUCCGUGCCAGCAGCCGCGGUAAUACGGAGGAUCCGAGCGUUAUCCGGAUUUAUUGGGUUUAAAGGGAGCGUAGGUGGACUGGUAAGUCAGUUGUGAAAGUUUGCGGCUCAACCGUAAAAUUGCAGUUGAUACUGUCAGUCUUGAGUACAGUAGAGGUGGGCGGAAUUCGUGGUGUAGCGGUGAAAUGCUUAGAUAUCACGAAGAACUCCGAUUGCGAAGGCAGCUCACUGGACUGCAACUGACACUGAUGCUCGAAAGUGUGGGUAUCAAACAGGAUUAGAUACCCUGGUAGUCCACACAGUAAACGAUGAAUACUCGCUGUUUGCGAUAUACAGUAAGCGGCCAAGCGAAAGCAUUAAGUAUUCCACCUGGGGAGUACGCCGGCAACGGUGAAACUCAAAGGAAUUGACGGGGGCCCGCACAAGCGGAGGAACAUGUGGUUUAAUUCGAUGAUACGCGAGGAACCUUACCCGGGCUUAAAUUGCAGUGGAAUGAUGUGGAAACAUGUCAGUGAGCAAUCACCGCUGUGAAGGUGCUGCAUGGUUGUCGUCAGCUCGUGCCGUGAGGUGUCGGCUUAAGUGCCAUAACGAGCGCAACCCUUAUCUUUAGUUACUAACAGGUUAUGCUGAGGACUCUAGAGAGACUGCCGUCGUAAGAUGUGAGGAAGGUGGGGAUGACGUCAAAUCAGCACGGCCCUUACGUCCGGGGCUACACACGUGUUACAAUGGGGGGUACAGAAGGCAGCUAGCGGGUGACCGUAUGCUAAUCCCAAAAGCCUCUCUCAGUUCGGAUCGAAGUCUGCAACCCGACUUCGUGAAGCUGGAUUCGCUAGUAAUCGCGCAUCAGCCACGGCGCGGUGAAUACGUUCCCGGGCCUUGUACACACCGCCCGUCAAGCCAUGGGAGCCGGGGGUACCUGAAGUACGUAACCGCAAGGAUCGUCCUAGGGUAAAACUGGUGACUGGGGCUAAGU
rnacentral:rRNA from 1 species